rnacentral:rRNA from 1 species
AGCAGCCGCGGUAAUUCCAGCUCCAAUAGCGUAUAUUAAAGUUGUUGCAGUUAAAAAGCUCGUAGUUGAAUUUCGGGAUUGACACAUCGGUCGUGCCUUAAGGGGUAUGAACUGGUGUAGUCAAUUUCUCACCUUCUGGAGAACCGCGAUGCCCUUAAUUGGGUGUCGCGGGGAACCAGGACCUUUACUUUGAAAAAUUAGAGUGUUUAAAGCAGGCAUUUUGCUUGAAUACAUUAGCAUGGAAUAAUAAAAUAGGACGGCAUGAUUCUAUUUUGUUGGUUUCUAGGAUCACCGUAAUGAUUAAUAGGGAUAGUUGGGGGCAUUAGUAUUCAAUUGUCAGAGGUGAAAUUCUUGGAUUUAUUGAAGACUAACUACUGCGAAAGCAUUUGCCAAGGAUGUUUUCAUUAAUCAAGAACGAAAGUUAGGGGAUCGAAGACGAUCAGAUACCGUCGUAGUCUUAACCAUAAACUAUGCCGACU